rnacentral:rRNA from 1 species
UACGUAGGGGGCGAGCGUUGUCCGGAUUUAUUGGGCGUAAAGAGCUCGUAGGCGGUUUGGCAAGUCGGGUGUGAAAACUCCGGGCUCAACUCGGAGACGCCACUCGAUACUGCUAUGACUCGAGUCCGGUAGGGGAGUGCGGAAUUCCUGGUGUAGCGGUGAAUGCGCAGAUAUCAGGAGAACACCGGUGGCGAAGGCGGCUCUCGCGGGCUACCUGACGCUGAGGAGCGAAGACGUGGGUAGCGAACAGGG